GAUGAACGCUGGCGGCGUGCCUAAUACAUGCCAGUCGAGCGAACAGACGAGGAGCUUGCUCCUCUGACGUUAGCGGCGGACGGGUGAGUAACACGUGGAUAACCUACCUAUAAGACUGGGAUAACUUCGGGAAACCGGAGCUAAUACCGGAUAAUAUAUUGAACCGCAUGGUUCAAUAGUGAAAGACGGUUUUGCUGUCACUUAUAGAUGGAUCCGCGCCGCAUUAGCUAGUUGGUAAGGUAACGGCUUACCAAGGCAACGAUGCGUAGCCGACCUGAGAGGGUGAUCGGCCACACUGGAACUGGGACACGGUCCAGACUCCUACGGGAGGCAGCAGUAGGGAAUCUUCCGCAAUGGGCGAAAGCUUGACGGAGCAACGCCGCGUGAGUGAUGAAGGUCUUCGGAUCGUAAAACUCCGUUAUUAGGGAAGAACAAAUGUGUAAGUAACUAUGCACGUCUUGACGGUACCUAAUCAGAAAGCCACGGCUAACUACGUG
rnacentral:rRNA from 1 species